rnacentral:rRNA from 1 species
UACGGGGGGAGCAAGCGUUGUUCGGAUUUACUGGGCGUAAAGGGCGCGUAGGCGGCCAGCACAAGUCAGUUGUGAAAUCUCCGAGCUUAACUCGGAAAGGUCAACUGAUACUGUGCGGCUAGAGUGCGGAAGGGGCAACUGGAAUUCUUGGUGUAGCGGUGAAAUGCGUAGAUAUCAAGAGGAACACCUGCGGCGAAGGCGGGUUGCUGGGCCGACACUGACGCUGAUGCGCGAAAGCUAGGGGAGCGAACGGGG